rnacentral:tRNA from 1 species
GCCCCUGUAGUUCAAUGGAUAGAAUAAAUCCCUCCUAAGGAUUAGAUACUGGUUCGACUCCAGUCGGGGGUACAA